rnacentral:rRNA from 1 species
UACGGAGGGGGCUAGCGUUGUUCGGAAUUACUGGGCGUAAAGCGCACGUAGGCGGCGAUUUAAGUCAGAGGUGAAAGCCCGGGGCUCAACCCCGGAACAGCCUUUGAGACUGGAUUGCUUGAACAUCGGAGAGGUGAGUGGAAUUCCGAGUGUAGAGGUGAAAUUCGUAGAUAUUGGGAAGAACACCGGUGGCGAAGGCGGCUCACUGGCCAGUUUCUGACGCUGCAGCGCGAAAGCGUGGGGAUCAAACAGG